rnacentral:rRNA from 1 species
CAGCCGUAAACUAUGCGCGUUAGGUGUAUCGGUGACCACGAGUUACCGAGGUGCCGAAGGGAAACCGUGAAACGUGCCGCCUGGGAAGUACGGUCGCAAGGCUGAAACUUAAAGGAAUUGGCGGGGGAGCACAACAACGGGUGGAGCCUGCGGUUUAAUUGGACUCAACGCCGGGAAGCUCACCGGAUAAGACAGCGGAAUGAUUGCCGGGCUGAAGACUCUGCAUGACUAGCUGAGAGGAGGUGCAUGGCGUAGACGUCU